AACAUUCUAAAUUUACAUCUCACAAUUCUAAGUUUAUAUAUCCCAGAAUUCUACAUUUUUGUUGUCUUGUGUCGGCAUGAUAGACGUGCACAGUGCUUCCCCCAGCUAGGGUUGCCAGGUUUUCUUAACAGAACCCGCCCCUCCUUAAAAAUCGAGUCCCAGGAGUUAAAUACAUGUUUUUAGUGGGGUUCUCCCGGUAAAAUUCACAUUAAAUCACAUUAAAUAUCACUUCACUGAGGUCGCUUCAACCAGCAGAUAUGAAAAACAACCCACAGCAACAUUGUUAAAGAAGCCCAAUUUGGCAACACUGUUUUGUUAUUUGGAAAUUUCCAAGCCACUGUCGCCGGUGCCUCUACACCAGAUCUUGUUGCCGAUCUGCCUUUUUCAAGGCGCUCUUUUGCUGACAAAAGAGGAAUAACUGAAGGACAAGCUACUUAAACUGAGUUCGCUAACAACGGUUUUGUGCACCAUUUCAAAGAUUGCAUCUUUGAGUGGCUAACAGCUAGCACCGAGCACAAGAAGUUAUUUAGCCAUGUUUAUUUAUAUUUUUUAAUAUGAGUAAAGGGACAUGGAAUGACAGAUGCACAUACUUUAUUUACAAGUGACAGGCUUUCUUCCACUGCUAUUGUUUUCCUUGGAUUUGCUUCUCAGUUCCAAACAAAUAAAUGUAAGCAAAUUCCUGUUCCUGGUCCAGUUCUGUAACACUGUAUGAUCAAGGAGAGGCAUCAUCAAAGAACGGAGUGAAAGAAGAGCAACAGGUUGGAACAUUAAACAGACUACAUCUUCAGUCGCUACACCAUUGGUGAUCAGCUGGGGAAAGGUGGUUGUGGGGUGGUGUACGAAGGCAGACGUUUAAAUGAUGAUCUUAAAGUGGCUUUGAAAUAUGUCAUGAAGACCCAGCACACAGAAAGUAUAUUCAUUCCUGAUCAUCCGAAACCUCUUCCGAAAGAGAUCGCCCUCACCAUCCUGGCCAACAAAGGUCCCAGCGUACCAGAAAUCAUCCGGCUGCUGGACUGGACGGACCACCCUGACCACUUCGUAAUGGUCCUCGAAUGUCCCUCUCCCUGUGAGAGUCUCGUGGGGUUCAUCAGGCGUCACGGUGGAAGACUCG